rnacentral:tRNA from 1 species
CACUAAGAAGCUAAACAGGGUUAUAGCGUCAGCCUUUUAAGCUGAAGAUUGGUGCCCCCCAACCACCCUUAGUGA